UGUUAUUAAUUGUUUAUUGUAGAUUCCAGGAACAAUGGCUCCUGGUUGUGUAGGGAAAAUGCAAACAACAUUUGCAUAAUAAUUUGGAACACAGUGUAUAUUAAAUUAAAUGAAAGGCGCUACAAUUAAUAUAGGGAAAAGGCUUGGUAAGAGAUCCACAAUGUCUCUCUCUCUGUCAAAAGCAGCAUGUUCAACUGCCAACAAGAAAUGACGAACAAGGAAGCCUGCAGUCUCUUAUUCAAGUCAAAGCACCACAAAUACUUGAAGAGGAGAAGAAAACGGGCACACUAACAACAGCGUCAAGGAGGCUCCUUGUGAAAGUAUGCGUCAGUAACCUGGUGGAGAAGCAUGGCUUUUACCCAUCAAGUGCUGAAAAGCUUUCCCUGGCAAAGAGUAUUGUCACCACUUUCCCAACAAUGAGAGUCCAGAUUGAUGGAAAAGGAGAUGGAUUUGAACAUUUUUAUGAUCCGUCAUCACACUCUGGAUUUUUGGAGAUGAGACUACGCAACAUGCGCCGACAUUUGGAAUCAGAGCAGCGACGUUACACAAAGCGCAAAAUAACGUGCGAUGAUGGACCAGAAUCAGAACUCGACCAGCCUGAAAGCAGCUUGACUGAGUGGAUUACCCUCAUGAAACGGCUCAGGCCUUCUUCAGACAAUAUAUCUUCAAUCAAAUCAGCAAUGGAGAAGACAUACACCAGACGUAGAUUGUGGAUAUCAAAGGAAAGUCCCACAAUGACUGAGAUCUUCAGUGAAUACCCACGCUUUUUGGAUAUGCCAAGUCUGGUAGGUCCCCCAUUGCACCUCAGUCAUCAUUCCUGUAUCUUAAUAAUUAAAUUUAAUUGGGCCAUAACUAGUAAACAAAAUAUCACAAGAGUCUAAGAUUGAGUGGUCCACUAAGUCCUGAGACACAAUCCCAUCCAUGAGUUUAAUUGAAAACAAAAAAAUCUAAUCUUUAUGACACUUAAUUACAAU